GGCUGGUCUGAGUGCAGUGGGUGUACAAGGAAUUGGUGACAGCCUCUCACAGGUUUCUUUGCUCCUUUUCCAUUUCCACUGCUGCUUCACUCCACUAGCCUUUA
rnacentral:Y_RNA from 1 species